UGACCUGUUCUCACAGUGGUGAGACAAUAUUCAGAGUCUCUGCCGUCUGAGAGAGAGGCUAAAAAUAAUACACUUGUGCAAGCAAAGUAAAGCUCUGACAGAACACGCCAAAUCCUAUGAGCAACACCAGGUAUCAGUUUCAGUUCACCUGCGCAUUCAUCUCAGUGUCACCUGAACUUCUCGAAGUUUUAAUUAAAUGAGCCUUUGGUCUGGUUUUUUUAUCGGCCUUCACUUUCUUUGAUUUGGCGAGUUUGUUCUGCGAUUUAUUUCUCUGAGGAGCCGGUUGCAUCAUCACUACACCUGGUUCUCAUCUGUAAUCAUCCCAGCUGCUUCAGUUUGUUAAUGGUCCCUCAAUAUGCUUCCCUGGCAUGUUUUCUGAAUGUCAUCUCUUUAGUUUUCUCAGCAGGUGAGGUAAACUUCCAGAGCAUCCAGGAGGAGCCCCGUGGUAAUACCAGAUCUCGGUGCCCAGAAUGUUGGACCUGCUUCUCCAAACAUGACCCCGGGGCUCUGUGGUAUAACCCCAAGUGAAGAGUCACUGAGACUAUCCAGCACAGCAUGCUGCUCUCAGUGCUGCAAGUGGACAGCUGUGACAGCCUGAAUUAAAACGGACGAGCGCUCAUUCAUAGCACUCCCUCCACCCUCAACCUAACCUGCACCCUGGAGGCGGAUGCAGCUGAAAGUUUAGAGAAGUGGUUCGUUUACAGUUAAGGGUCUUUCAAUGCAUUGCAAGAGCAUGACGAUAAAUGUUUCAUACUUGCCAUUUGUCUACAGGGUUUAAAUACUUGAGUUACCUUUUCAGAGCAGACAUUUUUUUUUCUAGUUUUAGUAAGAACCUAAAAUAGAUAAUAAAUAAAAUGCAAUUAACAAGUGCUCCACAUAGAGCGAUCCCUGAUUCCAGAUGGGCCAAAACUUUCUGUUAGCUAAAGGUCAAAGAGUCAUUCAUGGACAACAUGACCAUUGUUUGGGGUUCCAAAGCAGACCUUAGGAUCAAAAUGUUCUCCCCUAAAGAUUAUUUUUGAUUUGCAGCAUCAAUAUUAAUAGCAGCUUUAAAAAAAACUGGUAGAUCAUGUUUACAUGCACAAAUACAACAUUUAUGAUAAACAAAUUGAUCUUCUGUUGUCUAUUUUUGCUGGCACGCAAAAUCGUUUCUUUUUAUCUUUACAAUCUAACGAUUCUUUAACGCCGCACUUCUAAAAAGGCUUUAGAAGCCGAUGUUGUUUACAUUACCACAGGCCAUGAAGUAUUAUUCAUAAAAUCAGCAAAGCAAAAAGCACUUUAUGUAAACGAUAAACGCUGUCCUCGGAUGAGUUGUGCGACUGCUAUUCAUUCUGACAGCGCCGUGUUCUCCGUGACUUGAUGUAAUUCGUCUCCAUUAAACCCCUGACUCUUGUUUAUAACUUUGCAUGAUUCAAUAUGGAAGACAGUUGUAAUCUCUCGAUCAUGAGCUCUGUGCUCUUUUCUCUUCGUUAAUACAAUAAAGUCUAAAUCUGGACACAUGGUGAAAAAAGACUUUGUAAUUCUUUUAUUUCAUUAGGGUCUGCAGAUCUGGACUUUUCAAAGAACUGUUUAAAUGCUGACAUCCUAUUGAUCUGUAAUGUGUGUUUGUACUGCACUUUCAAGUUUUAGUUUACAUCACAAAAUGAACAGAGUGGUGAUACUUUUAGGAGCUUCUCAGUAAAUGGACUGAAUAUCAAUAAAUAACUGUCUGACUGUGAUUUUUACUGAGUGGAUUCAGUCAGGGUUAUUUAUUUAUUCAUGUUUUUCUCUUUGUAGUUCCCUGAUUUGUGCACAGUUUAACUUCUAGGGGAUAUUAAAAAAAAAAAAAGAUGUAGCUAUUUUCUCUCUCAGUAUGUUUCCAUUGUUUAUCUUGUGCUUUGAUAUCAUGCAGAUGUGUGCUGAAAUGAACUGAGGUGGCCGCCAUUGCUACAGGAAUGUCUUAAAGAGGCUUGUGUGCAGUUCCAGUCUGAGCUAACGUUUUUAUGUCCGUUUCUGAUGCUAAGCCAUUUGAUAAUCCAGUUUUCUCACAUACAUAGCUGCAGGACGUGACCUUUUCCUCCACAGUAAAUUCAUAAUCCCUGCUAAUCCCUAAAUUAAAAAAGAAAAAAAAAA